rfam:Strongyloides venezuelensis genome assembly, scaffold: SVE_scaffold0000011
CCAACGGCCCUCUUUAGGGCCACCAUUCUUGACAUUGUUCCCUUUCU